AUACGGAGGAUGCGAGCGUUAUCCGGAUUUAUUGGGUUUAAAGGGAGCGUAGGUGGGAUAUUAAGUCAGCUGUGAAAGUUUGGGGCUCGACCUUAAAAUUGCAGUUGAUACUGGUUUCCUUGAGUACGGUACAGGUGGGCGGAAUUCGUGGUGUAGCGGUGAAAUGCUUAGAUAUCACGAAGAACUCCGAUCGCGAAGGCAGCUCACCGGGCCGGAACUGACACUGAUGCUCGAAAGUGCGGGUAUCAAACAGGAUUAGAUACCCUGGUAGUCCGCACAGUAAACGAUGAAUACUCGCUGUUUGCGAUACACUGUAAGCGGCCAAGCGAAAGCGUUAAGUAUUCCACCUGG
rnacentral:rRNA from 1 species